rnacentral:rRNA from 1 species
GACAGAGGAUGCAAGCGUUAUCCGGAAUGAUUGGGCGUAAAGCGUCUGUAGGUGGUUUAUUAAGUCUACUGUUAAAGAUCAGGGCUUAACCCUGAGCAGGCAAUAGAAACUAAUAAGCUAGAGUACGGUAGGGGCAGAGGGAAUUCCCGGUGUAGCGGUGAAAUGCGUAGAGAUCGGGAAGAACACCAACGGCGAAAGCACUCUGCUGGGCCGAUACUGACGCUGAGGAGCGAAAGCGUGGGGAGCGAAUAGG